rnacentral:lncRNA from 1 species
CGCCAACCUAUUUAAGGCCGGCAGCACACAUCCGGUUUCCGGAUACGGUUUCCUGAUCAGGAAUUAAGAUUCGGGAUUCCGUGUCACUAGCGCACACAUUCGGUUUUUUUCAUUCUGAAUUUACAUGGCCAAACGCACGGAGAAAAUUUUAAACCGGAUGUCAGGUUUUUUUCCGUCCGGAAAAAGUAAGAACGUGUGCGCUCUUGUGAACAUUUUGUAUGAAAAAAGAGCAUUCCGGUUUCCGGAUCAGGAUUCCUGAUCAGGAAAC